rnacentral:rRNA from 1 species
CUGACUGCUAUCGGAUGAUACUAAGCCAUGCGAGUCUUUGUAGUAAUACAAGGCAGACGGCUCAGUAACACGUAGUCAACCUACCCUAUGGACAAGAAUAAUCUCGGGAAACUGGGCAUAAUUCUUGAUAGAUCAUAAUGCCUGGAAUGGUUUAUGGUUAAAAUGAUUCGUCGCCAUAGGAUGGGACUGCGGCCUAUCAGCUUGUUGGUGAGGUAAUGGCCCACCAAGGCGAUUACAGGUACGGGCUCUGAGAGGAGAAGCCCGGAGAUGGGUACUGAGACACGGACCCAGGCCCUAUGGGCGCAGCAGGCGAGAAAACUUUGCAAUGUGCGAAAGCACGACAAGGUUAAUCCGAGUGAUUUCUGCUAAAGAAAUCUUUUGCCAGUCAUAAAACCACUGGUGAAUAAGGGGUGGGCAAGUUCUGGUGUCAGCCGCCGCGGUAAAACCAGCACCUCAAGUGGUCAGGAUGAUUAUUGGGCCUAAAGCAUCCGUAGCCGGCUUUGUAAGUUUUCGGUUAAAUCCAUGUGCUCAACGCAUGGGCUGCCGAAAAUACUGCAUGGCUAGGGAGUGGGAGAGGUAGACGGUACUCAGUAGGAAGGGGUAAAAUCCUUUGAUCUAUUGAUGACCACCUGUGGCGAAGGCGGUCUACCAGAACACGUUCGACGGUGAGGGAUGAAAGCUGGGGGAGCAAACCGGAUUAGAUACCCGGGUAGUCCCAGCUGUAAACUAUGCAAACUCAGUGAUGCAUUGGCUUGUGGCCAAUGCAGUGUUGCAGGGAAGCCGUUAAGUUUGCCGCCUGGGAAGUACGUACGCAAGUAUGAAACUUAAAGGAUUGGCGGGGAGCACCACAAGGGUGAAGCCUGCGGU